GACAGAGGGUGCAAACGUUGUGCGGAAUUACUGGGCGUAAAGCGUGUGUAGGCGGCCAUGUAAGUCGGAUGUGAAAGCCCCAGGCUCAACCUGGGAACUGCACUCGAAACUGCGUUUCUUGAGUAUCGGAGAGGAAAGCGGAAUACCUGGUGUAGAGGUGAAAUUCGUAGAUAUCAGGUGGAACACCAGUGGCGAAGGCGGCUUUCUGGACGAUAACUGACGCUGAGACGCGAAAGCGUGGGGAGCAAACAGG
rnacentral:rRNA from 1 species